GACGACGCAACGCCGCGUGGAGGAUGAAGGUCUUCGGAUUGUAAACUCCUGUUGCCCGGGACGAAUGGCUCCAACCUAAUACGUUGGAGUGUGACGGUACCGGGUGAGGAAGCCCCGGCUAACUCUGUGCCAGCAGCCGCGGUAAUACAGAGGGGGCAAGCGUUGUUCGGAAUUACUGGGCGUAAAGGGCGCGUAGGCGGCCUGCUAAGUCGAACGUGAAAUCCCUGGGCUCAACCCAGGAACUGCGUCCGAUACUGGUUGGCUUGAAUCCGGGAGAGGGAUGUGGAAUUCCAGGUGUAGCGGUGAAAUGCGUAGAUAUCUGGAGGAACACCGGUGGCGAAGGCGACAUCCUGGACCGGUAUUGACGCUGAGGCGCGAAAGCCAGGGGAGCAAACGGGAUUAGAUACCCCGGUAGUCCUGGCCCUAAACGAUGAAUGCUUGGUGUGGCGGGUAUCGAUCCCUGCCGUGCCGAAGCUAACGCAUUAAGCAUUCCGCCUGGGGAGUACGGUCGCAAGGCUG
rnacentral:rRNA from 1 species